rnacentral:tmRNA from 1 species
CGGCACGCUGUAAAGCGAACCUUUAAAUGAGUGUCUAUGAACGUAGAGAUUUAAGUGGCAAUAUGUUUGGACGCGGGUUCGACUCCCGCCGUCUCCAUUA